AGCGAACGCUGGCGGCAGGCUUAACACAUGCAAGUCGAGCGAGAACAGGGCUUCGGCCCCUAGUAAAGCGGCGGACGGGUGCGUAACACGUGGGUAAUCUGCCUUUUGGUUUGGGACAACUGUCCGAAAGGAUAGCUAAUACCGGAUAAGUCAGCGGGGGUAUACCUCGUUGGGAAAGAUGGCCUCUCCAUGGAAGCUAUCACCGAAAGAUGAGCCCGCGUCCCAUCAGCUAGUUGGCGAGGUAAUGGCUCACCAAGGCAUAGACGGGUAGCUGGUCUGAGAGGAUGAUCAGCCACACUGGAACUGAGACACGGUCCAGACUCCUACGGGAGGCAGCAGUGGGGAAUAUUGGGCAAUGGGGGAAACCCUGACCCAGCCAUGCCGCGUGAGUGAUGAAGGCCUU
rnacentral:rRNA from 1 species